rnacentral:lncRNA from 1 species
UAGGUUCUGAUUAUCUUCAUAUUUUAUUCAAUAUGUGUUUAGUUUUUAAUUCUUCAGAAAAUGAAGAAGAUUUCUUUUUGAAGUAGCUUGUUAAUCCAAAUCAAUUUGGAAAAGAUUCUAUUCAAAUAAGAACAUUUUAUUUUAUUGGAUUUGCAUUGAAGAAUAGAUUAAGGUUUGAUUUGAUUGGAUUUGCUUUGAAGAAAAUGUGUAUUUGAAUAUGCCUUGAAGGAAGACUUGUUUCAAAUUUAGUUUAUUCAAGAUUAUGAUGAAAUUGGAUAUAC